CUAUUUAAAUACUUGUGCUGCAGACCCUGUUGACAUAGCCUACGCACGUCGCCUAUGCUGUUGUGAGCGUUUAUACUUGAGUGGUGGUGUGUCUGUGUCACUCUGCAGGUUUCUGUAAAGUGCUGUAAAGUUUAAUUGAUUCAAACACACCCAAAACACACAUUAAACAUGGCUUAAUCGAGACAAUUUCAAACACAGAUACACAAAUCAGCUUCACUAUAACUCGCAGUAUUCACAGACAAAGCACUUGCAUUCAUCUGCAUACAUUUUCCCCACCAAUACAACAUGCUAACGUUAUUAGCACAGGCCUAUGGCAUUUUACAUUGUAUAAAUUAGCCUAGCACCUAGCGAUUUUUUUUCUUUUUCUCAUAUAAAUCCAGGGACAACAGCAACAUUUAACAAAGGGAAGGGUAUAAUUUGGCUCCAUUACAACUCACAAGGUUCACCAACAAAACAACUGUCUUGUACAAAACACAUUUUCCAAACAAAUAUAACAUGCUAACAUUAUUAGCACAAGCCUUUGGCAUUUUACAUUUGUUACCUGCCGGAGCAUCCCCUUUAAGAAGGUGGCCUUAUGGGCAGUGUGUGUGACGUAGCCUUGUAGUUGUCCUGUGAUGGCACGGAAAAGUGUCAGUGUCAGAACACCGGCUCUUGUGUUAAAAUACUCCGUCUUUACUCCUCCUCUGUGUGUGGGAUUAGCCUGGACUGCCAGUUACCAGCACCCAACGAGCCAAGCUAACGCAAAAUGUGACUUAGAAUUAGAAACCAGCGGUUCCAUACUACCGUUAGGAACCACAAAGCUGAAGAAGGUAACACAUUAGCCUAGCAGUUAGCAAACUUUUCCUCUUCUUAUAUAAAGCCAGGGACGACAGCAACAUUUAACAAAGGUAACGGCACAUAAUUUGAGUUCAUUAUUACUCACAAGGUUCACAGACAGAACAACUGUCAUACUUCACACAUUUUCCAAACAAAUACAACAUGCUAACAUUAUUAGCACAAGCCUAUGGCAUUUUACAUUGCGUAAAUUAGCCUAGCGACAGGCAGAGAUUUCUUCCGCUCAUAUGAAACCUGGAUAAAUCCCUCCUGAAGGAUAAAUAUCACACAAGACUUAAAAUGCCAGUUUCUUGGGGGUUUAUUGUCUUGACAAUUUAUUGUUUCUCAUCUGUGAAAUGAAAGUAAAUAAAAGCUUCAUUUCCACUGAGGGAAAUGGUGUCAGCUUACAAAAGUAGAGGAGAAAAAGAGGAUGUUGAUGACUGAGUGUGGCAACAGAGGCGCAGAUACCACCCUGGGUAAGAGAAGAGGAAUGAAUGCCUGGGCGCAGCGCUAACAAGGACAGGUGGGCAAAUGAGCAUACAAGAGUCAUGGCUGCACAAAAUACAAACAGAUGGAGCGGAUUCAUGCAUAACCUCAGGUGACAACUCCACAGCAAAAAUGAGGAAGAGGUGAUAGACAGCAUCAAAGGAUGCUGCAAUGCAGUCUACAAUCACACACUGGAGCAGCAUGAUGCCGUCGUCGUUAGGCACUGUGUAAAAAUGCGAAGGAGGCAUAAAUAAAGGACUUUGUAGCAGCCCUAUAACACAAUAUAUGUGUAAAAAGUACUAGUAAUACAGAGAAACAAUCUCUUCUCUUUUCUGUUCUCUGGAGAGACAAAGCAAGACAUUGAAGCUCUGCACUGAGCACAGGUAUCUUUAUAAUUAAAUUCCUACUUUACGUUUUAAGAGUUCACUUCAAAUAUAUUAUAAACAUCAUAUGGCAAUGUCAUAUAUGUGUCUGCUUGUUUCAACACUCAAUUAGAGCUGUAUGACAGUAUGUAAAAUAUUCAAACGCAAGCUAUGACUGCACAUCGUGGUUCCAUCAAAUUGUGAUAAAACAGCUAGGUCAUCAUUUUCUACACAUUUCCACAAAGCUUCCUGGUUAAGUAUACUGUGAACUAGCAGAUCUCCAAAAACUAUAUAAUGUUAGUUUCUUUAGAGAUGUAAGAGCUGAUGUAAGAACUUUAUAUGUUGGACAAAAAAGGCCUGUCAUGUAUCGCUACUUUUACAAGUAAAGGAUUCAAAUACCUAAUCCACCACUGUAAAUAGAAAAUAAUUCAUUUUUAAGACCCCACCAAGAUUUCAUUUUCGUAUGUUCAGGGAAUCCCUGUCAGUGGUGUCAUGGUUGUUGAUGAGAUGGGUGUACUACAAUGAAGAUGUACAGCUUUUUGGCUGGUAGGUGGCUAUGCCGUAAAUGGACAGCUUGGUAUACCCUGUAUACCCACAUAUACCCUCCACUGCACCACUGAUUACAGGUGUUUAUUAAGAGAUUCAAGAUCCCUAAGACCCCUGUAUUAUGUAUGCUGGUCUCACUGUACCAUAAGAUACUAAUAAUUCAACCAUAUCAUGUGGCCUGGGGUUUGUUGUAUGCAUGCAGAAUAUGUUAAGAGUCGAUAUUUGGCUUCUAGGCUUUGUUGUAACUCCCUAAAUAUCUUCAAACAUGAUGUGACAUGACAAGUAAUCAUAAUGGCUUUACUUUUCUGUGUCUACAAUGCUUCAGUAAAAUACAAAUAAAUGCCAGAUUUCCUCUAUAGGCUUCCCCCGGCUCUCCCUC